rnacentral:tRNA from 1 species
GCCCGGGUGGCGAAAUUGGUAGACGCAGGAGACUUAAAAUCUCCCGGUGGUGACACCGUGCCGGUUCGAGCCCGGCCCCGGGCACCA